AAUUUCCGCGACUUCUUAAAGGGUGUAAAUGGGCGGGGCGCAUUAGAGGGAAAGAUGCUCGGA
rnacentral:tRNA from 1 species